AGACUGUGCUCUUCCGAUCUCAUGGGCAAGAAAUUGGAAAGCUAAAGUUAAAAUUCAAUUGAUGUUGCAAACGAAGAAAUUGCCAAAAGACAUUAUCAUUUGUCUUGGGACAGAGUGAGUUUGCUUUCUCAUACCGCAACUUUCCUUCCUCCUCUAUUUCCAACUAUUGUGUCAACCAUGUCCAAUCCAAUCAAUGAAUUAAUGUUUUGCUAUAUUUCUAUAUGAAAUCUUAGGAAGAUGAAAAUAACCAAAUGACAUAAUGUAACAAACAGACAUAAACCAUCUACUUCCAAACAAAUUAUUUUAAAUUAGUGCAAAAUAAUCAUGGCAGAGGUUGUGAACUGGCAUAUUGGUCAUAGCCAUGACCACAAUGAUCUACAAUAUUAGGGCUCAUUCCACUUAUGCCAUAAUCUAUUGCCUAUUUGUGGUGACGUACUGUCACUCCCUCAUAUUUGUGACAAAUUAUUAGAGAGUUACCAAGGCAAGGUGAAACAAAUAACAUAUAGAACACACUCAUAUAUUUAUAAUAAGUACACAACCAUACAAAAAGAAGAAGUCAUGGGCACAAAGAUUAGAGAUUCUGAGCCCAAUAAAGCAAUAAAACAUGAAGCAUUUCAUCUC